GGGCCCGUAGCUCAGCUUGGAUAGAGCGGCACCCUCCUAAGGUGAAGGUCGCGGGUUCAAAUUCGGUUUGAUCCGGUGAAAAUCCCGCCGGGCCCG
rnacentral:tRNA from 3 species